GGCCUACACCUAUGAGCAGUUCUUUCCCUUGGUGGAAUCAGGGAAGGCCGUGUGAACCGGCCACAGUUGCGCUGCGGUAUCGGGUGACAAAUCCCCAUGCGAAAGCACGCCAAUCUGGACAUUCUGCUUUGGCAGAAUGGAAGGGUGAAGGCGGGGAGGAGGAUCGCAACCCGGAGUCCGAACAUCUGCCCGCCAAGGCUCAUCGCU
rnacentral:ncRNA from 2 species